rnacentral:rRNA from 1 species
UACGGAGGGGGCAAGCGUUAUUCGGAAUUAUUGGGCGUAAAGGGCGCGUAGGCGGCUAGAUGUGUCAAAGGUGAAAUCCCUCGGCUCAACUGAGGAACUGCCUUUGAAACUGUCUGGCUUGAGGCCGGGAGAGGGUAGCGGAAUUCCCAGUGUAGCGGUGAAAUGCGCAGAUAUCAGGAGGAACACCCAGGGGGAAACCAGCCGACUGGGCAAGUGCUGACGCUGAGGUGCGAGAGCGUGGGGAGCGAACCGG